rnacentral:lncRNA from 1 species
CAGGACUGGAGUAUGCUGGCAGCAUCAGAGGUAAAUUGGAUGGCACCGCAUAACCACAGGGCACAGGGACAGAAUAUCCACUGGACACAUUUGGACUGGCAGGUUCAUCUUGAGGACUUGGAUCUGGUGAGGAGGAUGGAUCCUUUUCUUGCAUUGGGGAAAUAUUUAUGACUGAGUAGGGAUUCACUUUCCUUGGAGCAUCUUCCGCAGUAGGUUCUGAUGCUUGUAGCUUCUCACUUUUUUCUAAGUUAUCAGCUCCUUUAGCUGUGACAUUAGCCUCUUGGUGCUCUGUGUUAUUUCCAGGAUCAGGAGGAGGUGGCACAAGGGCUUGUCUGUCUGCUUCCGGUAUCUCAUCCCCACUGUCAAAGUCAAACAGUUCACCCUCAUCCUCCUCUUCAUCAUUUGUACUCACAGCUUUGGGUUCAUGCUCUAGAACUUCUGGGGGUGGGGGAGGGAAUUCCUCUGUGUCCAUCCUAGUGUAUCCACCACGCCUUCAGCUGACUGAAAAACCCUGCAAAAAUGAAGGGAACAUUUUUUUACAUGAAUAUCAUUUCCAACUAUACAGGCACUCCUUUUCAAUUUGGCCAGGCUCAUAGCUAAUAAUACGAUGGAAGAGAGGAGAUGUGCCUGGCUUCUUGCU